AAUGCUGGCGGCAUUCAGGGUGCCAUCCCGGCCUUGCCGGGAUGGAUAAUUGGGAAGCCGGUCCAAUGCCGGCGCUGCCCCCGCAACGGUAGCGGAACGAAAUCUCGACGAAUGCCACUGGCCGGCCGGCCGGGAAGGUGUCGAGAGGGUCCUUAGGGACGGUUCCGAAGCCCGGAAACCAGCCUUGAAUCCAUGACUCGGC
rnacentral:ncRNA from 1 species